AUCAGUCCGAGCUACCCGGAAGUGGCGUUGAAUGUCAUCCAGCCAGGCCAGGUCGUGCUGGGAGAACAUCAUAUCCAGUAGCUUUCGUACCACCAUCAGACCCAGGAUCUGCACACGGGAACCCAUGUUCUCACCAUCACGGGAAAGAUGAUAGCCAGGAAGGUGGACUUCAGGACCCAAAGGACAGCCAGGCAGGUGAUCUGAACCAAGGUGAAAAGGUGGACUCGG